rnacentral:rRNA from 1 species
AGCAGGUCGCGAAUAACUUUACAAUGCGUUGGAAACCGUGAUAAGGCCGGACACCGAGUGUCAUACGCUGGCUGUCCACGGUGUGUAAAAUACACCUGUAUAGCAAGGGCCGGGUCAAGAGUGCCAGCCGCCGCGGUAACACCGGCGGCCCGUGUGGUGAUCGUGAUUAUUGGGUCUAAAGGGUCCGUAGCCGGUUUGGUCAGUCCUCCGGGAAAUGUCCUGACAGCUCAACUAUUAGGCCGGAGGAUACUGCCAGACUUGGAACCGGGAGAGGUAAGAGGUACUACAGGGGUAGGAGUGAAAUGUA